ACACAGAGGGACUGCAAGCAGCCAGUGGGCCAGUACGUGAUCCCAACAAAGCUGGAAGGAUUGCAAAAGGGAAGUGUCCAGCACUGGAUGAAGAAUCACAGGCAGGGACUUGUCUGUGAAGCCAGCUCCUGAUGGGCACAGCUGUUGCAACUGCUGAAGGUUCCUCUGUUCCCCCACUUUGCUGUGCACAACACUGCUCUGUUUUCUUCUUAUUUUGAUAGAAGAGACAUUUCAGCUCUGCAAGUGAGAAUGUGGAGGAAUGCAGCUCGCAGGCAAGCUGAACCAAUACAACAGAAUGACACAGACUUCUCCAGUAACGACACCACUAUAACAGAAUAGUAUAUACAGGGAAAGACUUUUAGUAACAUCUGUAUAAAGACUUCUGAUAUACUCCAGAUAAAGAAGACAGCCUAAGGAUGCUACAUAACACCACAACUGUACUGAAUGUUGGCAAAGAAGAAUCAUACCCAGGGGGGUUAAACUGCUGUCAGGGGUUCAGCAGUCAAAGCCACAUUGAAUGUCUUUGGUGGGCGAUCAGACUCAAAAGCAAAGCUAGGGCAUUUGCAAACAGCAAACACCAUUUAUAGAGAUUACAUUUUAGCUGUAUGGCCAUUACCUUAACACAGUCCAGCAAGAAAGACGGCGAUUCAACCAGGCACAACUGAAAACUGCCGAAUCAUCAGGUCUGGGCUGUGCCGAGUUGCUCAGCUGAAAAAGCUGUGCCUCGAUGGGCUCUGCUUACCACACUGCUUGCCCUUCCAGUGUCAGAGACGAUUCCACCUACCGUCUUCUCUUGGGAUCUGACUGAAAAAAAUCUUCAAGAUUGCUUUGAGAAAUUGAAUGCUACCUGCAAGAUAGAGCUAAAAAAGGGCCUCGGUGCUUCUGAAAAAAUUUAAAAAAAAACAACAUGUGUUUCCAGUGUGGCUCUGGGGAGAUUCCUGGAGACUAUGACUGCAUUAACAUAACCAUGGGUUCCAUGGGGCUUUUUGAACCUGGGUAUACCUUCUAUGCAGCACAUUUGGUAGCGCUGCAGACCUGACUCACUGUACGUCCAUUGUGCUAUCCAUUUUCUAGAAGUCAGGCAUGAAAUGCAGGUGGAGACUUGCCCCCAAAGUCUGAUGAGGACCAAGUUACAUUUAGUUGCAAAAACAUUUAGUUGAGUCCAUUAUUACCAUUGUAAUACUGCUCUGGGGAAAGGACAGGUAAAGAAGAUGAGACAAGAAGGAAUAGAAAUUCAGUUCAGUGUCUUUAUUUCCCCUAUAAUGUGUCAUGUACCAUUCCGCUUGUUAUUUACUUGAAUAUAUAAUCAACUUACUGUGUAAGUGGCUAAUUGCUUUAUUUCAGUUCUGCUUCAUUCUGUCUCAUUAGGCCAAUUUACGGUUCUCAUCUUUUUUUGU
rnacentral:lncRNA from 7 species